rnacentral:rRNA from 1 species
UACGAAGGGGGCUAGCGUUGCUCGGAAUCACUGGGCGUAAAGGGUGCGUAGGCGGGUCUUUAAGUCAGGGGUGAAAUCCUGGAGCUCAACUCCAGAACUGCCUUUGAUACUGAGGAUCUUGAGUUCGGGAGAGGUGAGUGGAACUGCGAGUGUAGAGGUGAAAUUCGUAGAUAUUCGCAAGAACACCAGUGGCGAAGGCGGCUCACUGGCCCGAUACUGACGCUGAGGCACGAAAGCGUGGGGAAGCAAACAGGG